rnacentral:rRNA from 1 species
GAUGAACGCUGGCGGCGUGCCUAAUACAUGCCAGUCGAGCGAACAGAUGAGGAGCUUGCUCCUCUGACGUUAGCGGCGGACGGGUGAGUAACACGUGGAUAACCUACCUAUAAGACUGGGAUAACUUCGGGAAACCGGAGCUAAUACCGGAUAAUAUAUUGAACCGCAUGGUUCAAUAGUGAAAGACGGUUUUGCUGUCACUUAUAGAUGGAUCCGCGCCGCAUUAGCUAGUUGGUAAGGUAACGGCUUACCAAGGCAACGAUGCGUAGCCGACCUGAGAGGGUGAUCGGCCACACUGGAACUGAGACACGGUCCAGACUCCUACGGGAGGCAGCAGUAGGGAAUCUUCCGCAAUGGGCGAAAGCCUGACGGAGCAACGCCGCGUGAGUGAUGAAGGUCCUCGGAUCGUAAAACUCUGUUAUUAGGGAAGAACAAAUGUGUAAGUAGCUAUGCACGUCUUGACGGUACCUAAUCAGAAAGCCACGGCUAACUACGUG